UCUGCACCACUUCCACACACUUGGUCAUUGUCCUUAGGGUAAUAAUUAAUCAUACACACAGCUGCACACCUACUUGAAAGGAUGCAUGCAAACACUUCAAGUCACCGAGAAUAUGCAUCUCCAAGUCCAUCGUUACUUUGCAAACCAAGCCUUAUAACCUCACACUUCCUUCCUCUCUUCAUCCCACGACAUCACCAAGUAUAAUACAAGUUCUUGUGAGCCAAGUGAUCCUUUGAGAAAUAGUGAAACCGAGAAGUUAGCGUAAGCACCCUUGGAGAUUCGGUUCUUGCGUGCAUGAAAAAUUCGGUUCGGGAAAAGUAUGGUGGAAGGCGAUUUGUUGCUCUCUGGAUCUGGCAACCACCACACAUGCAGAGCAGAACAAUGCGUGAGCCACACAUGCAGUCCAAAGAGGGCAUGUGAAACCCACGCGCCUCCUUUAGAGGUGCUCUUUUACCUUCAUGCGCGACUAUUCUGGGUCCAGGGUCAACGGUUACUUCAAAUCUGAUUGUCCUCCAUACUCCUAGGUGGCGCGUGGCUCUCACGCGCCAUCAUAGUUGUUCGUUUUUUUUUAUGCUCCUCCAAGGUUGAAGAAACGGAUCUACAACUUUUCAAGCUGUAGUUCAUUAUUUUCCCAUGUAUUUUUAAUUUUUGUAAUGUCUUUUGUUUUAGAAAAUAAAAAAAUAAAAAAAAGAACACAUUGUCGCUUGGACAUAUUUCCAUAGAGUGUGUCAUCUACUCUGUUUUAGAUGGAGUAUGAGGUUUGUUUCACUUUGUCUUGGACAAAGUUAUGUUGUCUCUCAGACUAUGAGUUUGUAGAGAUAUGCAGCUUGGACUAGACCAUGCCAGUACUAUUAUAUACUGGAGAGCUAUUAAUGUUGUAA